rnacentral:rRNA from 1 species
CCUACGGGAGGCAGCAGUAGGGAAUAUUGCACAAUGGGCGAAAGCCUGAUGCAGCAACGCCGCGUGCGCGAUGAAGGCCUUCGGGUCGUAAAGCGCUUUUCGGGGAGAUGAGGAAGGACAGUAUCCCCGGAAUAAGGCUCGGCUAACUACGUGCCAGCAGCCGCGGUAAAACGUAGGAGCCUAGCGUUAUCCGAAUUUACUGGGCGUAAAGCGCGUGCAGGCGGUUCGGUAAGUUGGGUGUGAAAUCUCCUGGCUCAACUAGGAGAGGUCGCUCAAUACUGUCGAACUGGAGGAUGGUAGAGGGAGGUGGAAUUCCCGGUGUAGUGGUGAAAUGCGUAGAUAUCGGGAGGAAUACCAGUGGCGAAGGCGGCCUCCUGGGCCAUACCUGACGCUCAGACGCGAAAGCUAGGGGAGCGAACGGGAUUAGAAACCCCGGUAGUCCUAGCCGUAAACGAUGUGGACUUGGCGUUGGUGGGGUAAAAUCCAUCAGUGCCGGAGCUAACGCGGUAAGUCCACCGCCUGGGGACUACGGCCGCAAGGUUAAAACUCAAAGGAAUUGACGG